rnacentral:rRNA from 1 species
AUUGAACGCUGGCGGCAGGCCUAACACAUGCAAGUCGAACGGUAGCACAGAGAGCUUGCUCUCGGGUGACGAGUGGCGGACGGGUGAGUAAUGUCUGGGAAACUGCCUGAUGGAGGGGGAUAACUACUGGAAACGGUAGCUAAUACCGCAUAAUGUCGCAAGACCAAAGAGGGGGACCUUCGGGCCUCUCGCCAUCAGAUGUGCCCAGAUGGGAUUAGCUAGUAGGUGGGGUAAUGGCUCACCUAGGCGACGAUCCCUAGCUGGUCUGAGAGGAUGACCAGCCACACUGGAACUGAGACACGGUCCAGACUCCUACGGGAGGCAGCAGUGGGGAAUAUUGCACAAUGGGCGCAAGCCUGAUGCAGCCAUGCCGCGUGUAUGAGGAAGGCCUUCGGGUUGUAAAGUACUUUCAGCGGGGAGGAAGGUGUUGUGGUUAAUAACCGCAGCAAUUGACGUUACCCGCAGAAGAAGCACCGGCUAACUCCGUGCCAGCCGCCGCCGUAA